ACGUACACUCCUACGGGAGGCAGCAGUGGGGAAUAUUGCACAAUGGGCGCAAGCCUGAUGCAGCCAUGCCGCGUGUAUGAAGAAGGCCUUCGGGUUGUAAAGUACUUUCAGCGGGGAGGAAGGCGAUAAGGUUAAUAACCUUGUUGAUUGACGUUACCCGCAGAAGAAGCACCGGCUAACUCCGUGCCAGCAGCCGCGGUAAUACGGAGGGUGCAAGCGUUAAUCGGAAUUACUGGGCGUAAAGCGCACGCAGGCGGUCUGUCAAGUCGGAUGUGAAAUCCCCGGGCUCAACCUGGGAACUGCAUUCGAAACUGGCAGGCUAGAGUCUUGUAGAGGGGGGUAGAAUUCCAGGUGUAGCGGUGAAAUGCGUAGAGAUCUGGAGGAAUACCGGUGGCGAAGGCGGCCCCCUGGACAAAGACUGACGCUCAGGUGCGAAAGCGUGGGGAGCAAACAGGAUUAGAAACCCCGGUAGUCCCAUG
rnacentral:rRNA from 1 species